UUUCAGGUGUCCGGAUGGGCUUAAAAGGGAACCUCGUGAGAAUCGGGGACCGACCCACGGCUGUAAUCGGGGACGAAAGCCGCUGGAGAGCCACUGCCCUGCACCCACUUGGAGAUCGAAGCAAUAAAGCUUAGGUAAUUUUGAGUUCGAAAUCCAAGUGGGUGCAGGGUGGGAAGGCGCGGCAAGUAGAAAGAUCCGCAAGUCAGAAGACCUGCCUGAAAG
rnacentral:ncRNA from 1 species